ACAUGCAAGUCGAACGGUAACAGGAAGCAGCUUGCUGCUUCGCUGACGAGUGGCGGACGGGUGAGUAAUGUCUGGGAAACUGCCUGAUGGAGGGGGAUAACUACUGGAAACGGUAGCUAAUACCGCAUAACGUCGCAAGACCAAAGAGGGGGACCUUCGGGCCUCUUGCCAUCGGAUGUGCCCAGAUGGGAUUAGCUAGUAGGUGGGGUAACGGCUCACCUAGGCGACGAUCCCUAGCUGGUCUGAGAGGAUGACCAGCCACACUGGAACUGAGACACGGUCCAGACUCCUACGGGAGGCAGCAGUGGGGAAUAUUGCACAAUGGGCGCAAGCCUGAUGCAGCCAUGCCGCGUGUAUGAAGAAGGCCUUCGGGUUGUAAAGUACUUUCAGCGGGGAGGAAGGCGAUAAGGUUAAUAACCUUGUCGAUUGACGUUACCCGCAGAAGAAGCACCGGCUAACUCCGUGCCAGCAGCCGCGGUAAUACGGAGGGUGCAAGCGUUAAUCGGAAUUACUGGGCGUAAAGCGCACGCAGGCGGUCUGUCAAGUCGGAUGUGAAAUCCCCGGGCUCAACCUGGGAACUGCAUUCGAAACUGGCAGGCUAGAGUCUUGUAGAGGGGGGUAGAAUUCCAGGUGUAGCGGUGAAAUGCGUAGAGAUCUGGAGGAAUACCGGUGGCGAAGGCGGCCCCCUGGACAAAGACUGACGCUCAGGUGCGAAA
rnacentral:rRNA from 1 species